rnacentral:rRNA from 1 species
AUACGGAGGGUGCAAGCGUUAAUCGGAAUUACUGGGCGUAAAGCGCUCGUAGGCGGCUUGUUAAGUCGGAUGUGAAAGCCCCGGGCUCAACCUGGGAACUGCAUUCGAUACUGGCAGGCUAGAGUAUAGUAGAGGCAAGUGGAAUUCCGGGUGUAGCGGUGAAAUGCGUAGAUAUCCGGAGGAACAUCAGUGGCGAAGGCGACUUGCUGGACUAAUACUGACGCUGAGGAGCGAAAGCGUGGGGAGCAAACGGGAUUAGAAACCCCGGUAGUCC